rnacentral:pre_miRNA from 1 species
UUUGAGGGGAAUGUUGUUUGGCUCGAAGUCAUUAUCUCAUUAUAGAUCGAACCAAUCCAAUUUUAUAUAUUCAAUCUAGUUUAAAAUAUAUGUGAAUUACGAUGAUGAUGAGAUAGUGUCUUCGGACCAGGCUUCAUUCCCCCCAAU